UACGUAGGGGGCAAGCGUUGUCCGGAAUUAUUGGGCGUAAAGAGCUCGUAGGUGGCUUGUCGCGUCUGCCGUGAAAGCUCAUGGCUUAACUGUGGGUCUGCGGUGGAUACGGGCUGGCUAGAGGUAGGCAGGGGCAAGCGGAAUUCCGGGUGUAGCGGUGGAAUGCGUAGAGAUCCGGAGGAACACCAGCGGCGAAGGCGGCGUCCUGGACUGGACCUGACGCUCAGGAGCGAAAGCGUGGGGAGCGAGUCCGG
rnacentral:rRNA from 1 species